rnacentral:pre_miRNA from 1 species
CUUCUACUCCCUCCGUCUGAAAAUACUUGUCAUUGAAAUGGAUGUAUUUAGAUGUAUUUUAGUUCUAGACACAUCCAUUUUGAUGACAAGUAAUUCCGGACGGAGGGAGUAUUAU